rnacentral:rRNA from 1 species
GACAGAAAGACCCUAUGAAGCUUUACUGUAGCUUGGAAUUGAAUUCGGGCUUAUUUUGCGCAGCAUAGGUGGGAGGCUUAGACGGUAUAUUUGCGGAUAUGCAAGAGCCAUUAGUGAGAUACCACUCUUGAUAAGCUAGAAUUCUAACUUUGAAUGCCAUUAGCUGGCCAAAAAACAGUUUCAGGUGGGCAGUUUGACUGGGGCGGUCGCCUCCUAAAAAGUAACGGAGGCGUGCAAAGGUUUCCUCAGGCUGGUCGGAAAUCAGUCGCAGAGUAUAAAGGCAUAAGGAAGCUUGACUGCAAGACCUACAAGUCGAGCAGAGACGAAAGUCGGCCUUAGUGAUCCGGCAGUGCCGAGUGGAAGGGCUSUCGCUCAACGGAUAAAAGUUACUCUAGGGAUAACANGCUGA